GCAUUAAUUGCGGGUUAGCUGUCACUUUAACAGCCAUUUUUAACCCUAAAUAGCCCUGGGCAAUAGAAGAAGAAUAGAAGAAGAAGAAUAAGAGAAGAAACAGAGAAGAAGAAGAAGAAGAAAAAGAAGAAGAAGAAGAGGAGGAGGAGGAGGAGGAGAAGAAGAAUAAGAGAAAAUGGAAGGAGCUUUGUGAAAUCUCCACGGCACUGACACCUCCAUGGCCAAUGCCCUCCGCCGCAUCAGGGACAUCUUCAGGUGGUCGUUCCAUUGAGAUCUCCUGAAGUUUGAUUUUUUUUCUUCAUUUUCUACAGUUUUGAGAAUGGAUUUGGCUGCUGCAACGUCUUCAAUUGAAGGCCUUGGUGGAAGUGAUCUGUAAAUAGAAGAAUAGAAGAAUAGACUGUUUUCGGCAAUGGUUGGGACAAUGAAUCAGAACUUAAAUUUCAUUUUAGCGAGUGCUUUAAGCUUAUUCCACAUGAAGAAUCGCCAGUUGCAGAUGGGUCUGAUCGGGUGGUGGGAUUGGCGCCGAUAGGUUUAAAGCGAAGGAACUAGGGAUGAGUUGUGGAAGAGGAAAUGGAGGCUUUUUUGGAAAUAGAGAGAACAAGAAAGAAAGAGAUGAAGCAAAUGAGUGACAACAAAGGGAAAAGAAAUGAAAGCUUCUUUAUUGCUGCCAUGGAGGUCUUUGUUAACCAUUAAACACUGCUAAAUGAGCUAAGCGGAUAACCCCAAGGGAAAAAACAUAUGCGAGAUCUGAAGGUAAAAAACAGAGUAAUGGGUGUUAUAUGCCGUGCCACAGGGUGUAUUUGAGAAAUUUCAUUUGACUGCUUUAACUCAAAAGCCAAAAACUAGUUUCAAUUCAACGUUAUAUCUUUUUCACUUUCCUUUCAAAUUUCUUAGCUUGUUUGGUUGCUGAGAAAAAAAAAACCAAUUCUCUUUCUUUUAUCAUUUCAUGAUAACUCUCUCAACUGCAGCAAAGAUUCUAAUAUAUGGUUCCUUCUAAUUAGCAACAAAAA